rnacentral:rRNA from 1 species
UACGAAGGGGGCUAGCGUUGCUCGGAAUCACUGGGCGUAAAGCGCACGUAGGCGGCUUUCUAAGUCAGGGGUGAAAUCCUGGAGCUCAACUCCAGAACUGCCUUUGAUACUGGAGAGCUUGAGUCCGGAAGAGGUGAGUGGAACUCCGAGUGUAGAGGUGAAAUUCGUAGAUAUUCGGAAGAACACCAGUGGCGAAGGCGGCUCACUGGUCCGGUACUGACGCUGAUGUGCGAAAGCGUGGGGAGCAAACAGGG